CCAACCCAAUGUGAACGUUACCAAACUGUUGCCUCGGCGGGAUCUCUGCCCCGGGUGCGUCGCAGCCCCGGACCAAGGCGCCCGCCGGAGGACCAACCAAAACUCUUUUUGUAUACCCCCUCGCGGGUUUUUUUAUAAUCUGAGCCUUCUCGGCGCCUCUCGUAGGCGUUUCGAAAAUGAAUCAAAACUUUCAACAACGGAUCUCUUGGUUCUGGCAUCGAUGAAGAACGCAGCGAAAUGCGAUAAGUAAUGUGAAUUGCAGAAUUCAGUGAAUCAUCGAAUCUUUGAACGCACAUUGCGCCCGCCAGUAUUCUGGCGGGCAUGCCUGUCCGAGCGUCAUUUCAACCCUCGAACCCCUCCGGGGGGUCGGCGUUGGGGAUCGGCCCUCCCUUAGCGGGUGGCCGUCUCCGAAAUACAGUGGCGGUCUCGCCGCAGCCUCUCCUGCGCAGUAGUUUGCACACUCGCAUCGGGAGCGCGGCGCGUCCACAGCCGUUAAACACCCAACUUCUGAAAUGUUGACCUCGGAUCAGGUAGGAAUACCCGCUGAACUUAAGCAUAUCAAUAAGGCGGGAGAAAAANUGCGGGGGGGUGUCUCUUGUAGGGGGGGGGAUUGGCUGGAGGUUGGCCCUGAUCUCUAACGGCGAGGACUACGACCGGACAUAAAUCGGGUUCAUAACACAAAAUUUAAUAGUUAAACCCUCAGAAUCUUGUUUUUGCGCCUCACGCGCUUCGCCCGUUCAACCCCUGUCAACAAGAAAUCUCCUGAUACACUCGAGAAUUCCCUAAAUCCCGCGGUAAAUUAAAGAAGAGCAGAGGGGGACAGAAUCGCCGGUGGAACAUCAGGGAAUUUACCGAAAAUAUUACGACCUACCCUCAAGAGGAUUGCACGCCAUGAGAUGUGCGGCUAGAACGUUCAACCCCCCACACAAAU
rnacentral:rRNA from 1 species